rnacentral:rRNA from 1 species
GACGAACGCUGGCGGCGUGCUUAACACAUGCAAGUCGAACGGAAAGACGCUGCUCUUGUGGGUUGCUCGAGUGGCGAACGGGGGAGUAAAACGCGAGUAACAUGUACUUGACAUACGGAUAACUCCACGAAACUGGGGCUAAUACCGGGUAGGAUCUCUUGCUGCAUGGUGGGGGUUGGAAAGUUACGGCGGUUGGGGCUCGACUCGCGGGUUAUGAGCUGGUUUGUCUGGUAGUGGAUGACGAAGGUUUUGACGGGUAGCCGGCAUGGGAGGGUGACCGGCGUCCAGAGGACUGAGGUAGGGCGCAGACUCGAACGGGCGGCAGCAGGCGAGAAUAUUGCACAAUGGCGCGAAGCCUGAUGCAGAAACGCCCCGUGCGGGAUGACGGCCUACGAGUUGUAAACCGCUUUCGCCUGUGACGAAGCGUGAGUGACGGUAAUGGGUAAAGAAGCACCGGCUAACUACGUG